rnacentral:rRNA from 1 species
GAUGAACGCUGGCGGCGUGCCUAAUACAUGCAAGUCGAGCGAACAGAUGAGGAGCUUGCUCCUCUGACGUUAGCGGCGGACGGGUGAGUAACACGUGGAUAACCUACCUAUAAGACUGGGAUAACUUCGGGAAACCGGAGCUAAUACCGGAUAAUAUAUUGAACCGCAUGGUUCAAUAGUGAAAGACGGUUUUGCUGUCACUUAUAGAUGGAUCCGCGCCGCAUUAGCUAGUUGGUAAGGUAACGGCUUACCAAGGCAACGAUGCGUAGCCGACCUGAGAGGGUGAUCGGCCACACUGGAACUGAGACACGGUCCAGACUCCUACGGGAGGCAGCAGUAGGGAAUCUUCCGCAAUGGGCGAAAGCCUGACGGAGCAACGCCGCGUGAGUGAUGAAGGUCUUCGGAUCGUAAAACUCUGUUAUUAGGGAAGAACAAGUGUGUAAGUAACUAAGCACGUCUUGACGGUACCUAAUCAAAAAGCCACGGCUAACUACGUG